AAAUAAUACAAUUAGUCCAUUAAUAGUCCAUUAACAGUCCUAACAGUUCAAGUCUAUUUACAACAAGCACAUCAACAUAUUAAGGAACACUAUUCGAAAUGGAAAAUAUUAAACAAUAAAAUCUACAGCAAAAACAAAAGUAUGCAGCAAACUUCAAUUCAUAAGCCAACUUGAUGUCUACAUUGCAAUGCAUUAAAGGAGUGUACCUGGAAGUUGAAAUACAAUACGAAGAAGCAGAAGUCAACGACAGUGGUGAGGAGUUUAUAGUGUUAAACAACAGGAAAGCAAUAACAGUUUCAACUUGGAAUCCCAGCAAUGAAAAAACCAGUAAACAGACCCAAAAUUAAUUGAACAGACCAAUUUUCACUUGAAAUCAACCCAUGAGCCUUUAACCUCAUUUACUUAACAGAACUAGGAAAUUCUAACCAUUUUGAACUUUAUGUAAACUGGAAACUUGAAGUAGGAUGCUAGAACUUUGAAAUUGAUCUAAAACUAAAAUAGAACAGUGUUGUUAUGGAGUUUUUUGUUAUAUUUUUUUUCGAAUUUUUUGUCAAGAAUGGGAGUUGAACUUCACUUGUUUACUUUUGGAAUUUUGAAUUUCAAACAUUUAGAGGUUCGAAUUAGUGGAGGGUUUUUGGGAGGAAUUUUCAGAACUGGAACUUUUUUGAGAAUUUUUCAGGGGUUCAAACUUGUGAAAUA
rnacentral:lncRNA from 1 species